rnacentral:rRNA from 1 species
UACGUAGGGGGCUAGCGUUGUCCGGAAUCAUUGGGCGUAAAGAGCGUGUAGGCGGCCCGGUAAGUCCGCUGUGAAAGUCGGGGGCUCAACCCUCGAAUGCCGGUGGAUACUGUCGGGCUAGAGUGCGGAAGAGGCGAGUGGAAUUCCCAGUGUAGAGGUGAAAUUCGUAGAUAUUGGGAAGAACACCAGUGGCGAAGGCGGCUCACUGGCCCGUAACUGACGCUGAGGUGCGAAAGCGUGGGGAGCAAACAGG